rnacentral:rRNA from 1 species
UACGGAGGGGGCAAGCGUUGUUCGGAAUUAUUGGGCGUAAAGGGCGCGUAGGCGGCGAGGUAAGUCAGACGUGAAAUCCCUCGGCUUAACCGAGGAAUUGCGUCUGAUACUCCCUUGCUUGAGGCCGGGAGAGGAGAGUGGAAUUCCCAGUGUAGCGGUGAAAUGCGUAGAUAUUGGGAGGAACACCGGUGGCGAAGGCGGCUCUCUGGACCGGUUCUGACGCUGAGGCGCGAAAGCUAGGGGAGCAAACAGG